rnacentral:rRNA from 1 species
UACGAAGGGGGCUAGCGUUGCUCGGAAUCACUGGGCGUAAAGCGCACGUAGGCGGGUUCUUAAGUCAGGGGUGAAAUCCUGGAGCUCAACUCCAGAACUGCCUUUGAUACUGAGGAGCUUGAGUCCGGGAGAGGUGAGUGGAACUCCGAGUGUAGAGGUGAAAUUCGUAGAUAUUCGGAAGAACACCAGUGGCGAAGGCGGCUCACUGGCCCGGUACUGACGCUGAGGUGCGAAAGCGUGGGGAGCAAACAGG